rnacentral:rRNA from 1 species
GGGUAGCUAAGUACGGACGGGAUAACCGCUGAAAGCAUCUAAGCGGGAAGCCUCCCUCGAAACGAGGUCUCGCCUGAGAGCCGUGGAAGACCACCACGUUGAUAGGCCGGGUGUGGAAGUGCAGCAAUGCAUGAAGCUAACCGGUACUAAUCGCUCGAUCGGCUUGUUCUUUCCCC